rnacentral:rRNA from 1 species
UACGGAGGGUGCAAGCGUUAUCCGGAUUCACUGGGUUUAAAGGGUGCGUAGGCGGGCAGGUAAGUCAGUGGUGAAAUCUCCGGGCUUAACCCGGAAACUGCCGUUGAUACUAUCUGUCUUGAAUAUCGUGGAGGUAAGCGGAAUAUGCCAUGUAGCGGUGAAAUGCUUGGAUAUGACAUAGAACACCCAUUGCGAAGGCAGCUUACUACACGAUCAUUGACGCUGAGGCACGAAAGCGUGGGGAGCAAACAGG